AAGUCUCAUAACACAAAGGGUCUGAAUAAUGAUAUACAUUUGCUGACAUUUCUAAAAACCUGUUUUUACUUUGUCAUUGUGGGGUAUUGUGUGUAGAUUGAUGAGGAUUAUUAUUUUUUUUUAAUCAAUUUUAGAAUAAGGCUGUAACGUAACAAAAUGUGGGAAAGGCAAGUGGUCUGAGUACUUUCCAAAUGCAUCGUAUUUGGAUAGCUGGAUAAGAAGGAGAGAGCUGUUCAGACCCUGUGAUCACCCCCUCUGCCUACACCACCUCUGAUGCCGUCAUCUCCUCUGAGUCUGUCUUUAUCGUGGAGCUCAGCCUGGCCUGCACCAAUGGCGCCCAGAGUGUGGCUCUGUAUGCUGACGUCAAUGGCAGACAGUUCCCCGUGACCAGAGGCCAGGAUGUUGGCAAGUACCAGGUGUCCUGGAGCAUGCCCCACAAACAGGCUAGCUCCGGUACAUACCAGGUCAAAUUCUUUGAUGAGGAGUCCUAUAGCUCUUUGCGCAAGGCGCAGAGGAACAAUGAGGAUAGUGACUCCAUCCAGCCUCUCUUCUCUGUCAACGUGGAUCACAGGGGUGCAUGGAAUGGCCCGUGGGUGGCUACUGAGGUUAUGGCUGUUCUCAUCGGUAUACUGCUCUACUACCUGGCCUUCAAUGCUAAAAGCACCAUCCAGGCAUAAAGGACUGCAAGUCCCACAAUUCUCUGCAACUGGAACUCUAAAAUACUGUUGAAUUCUGGUGUGACUUUUCUACCAAUCCAGAACAACAAUUUGCCACCAUCCAUUUCGAGAUGCGGAACUAGUUGUUUUAUAUUUUGUAUUUACAUUUUUUUUAAGCAGAAGAAGCUAUUGCAUUGUGUCAAGUUGUGGUAAAAACUGCACACCUCAAUCAAACCUGAUGUACCCCACAAACUGAAUUGAGCACAGUAAUUUUGUGUUCAAAAGCAAACCCAGGUCCUGAAAGUUAAAGGACUGUUUCUAUAUGCCAACACUGACUUCCUUUCACAGCCUCGGGCUUAUUGUUUACCUACCGGUGGACUUGGCCUCUGAGAGACAAGAGUAUCUGUCCAUCAUUCUGUGGUCUUUCUUGUGAAGGACCUUCAUUGGUACUGAUUCUACACAGUCUAAAAUGACUGGUUCUGUAUCUACAAGAGUCUGAGUAGGAGUGCUGAUCUAAGAUCAGUUCCCCCAUUUUCUAUUCAUUAUGAUCUGAAUAGCAAUACUGAUCCUAGAUCAGAACUCGUACGCUGAGAUACUGUGAAUACGGACACUGGUGUUUAAGAGUCUGAUGCCACUGUGGACUUGGCAGUUGCUGACUGGCUGUGUCUUACCGACAGUACAUGGAACUGUUGCACUGGCUCGCUGAAGAGGCCAAAUAUUCAAGUAUUGGUGAUUAUUUUUGCUUGGUGGUCAAAUGAAUAAAUGGUUUGCUUUUC